GACAUCGUAGCCAAGUGGUUACGGCGACAGAUUCGAAUUGCGCAGAUAUCUGUUUCCCUUCGGGAGCGCAGGUUCGAAUCCUGCCGGUGUCG